AUGAACGCUAGCGGCAGGCUUAACACAUGCAAGUCGAGGGGCAGCAUAAUGGUAGUAAUACUAUUGAUGGCGACCGGCGGACGGGUGCGUAACGCGUAUGCAACCUACCCUUUACAGGGGGAUAACACUGAGAAAUCGGUACUAAUACCCCAUAAUAUUCUGGGAGGCAUCUUUCGGAGUUGAAAGCUUUGGUGGUAAAGGAUGGGCAUGCGUUGUAUUAGCUAGUUGGUAAGGUAACGGCUUACCAAGGCGACGAUACAUAGGGGGACUGAGAGGUUAACCCCCCACAUUGGUACUGAGACACGGACCAAACUCCUACGGGAGGCAGCAGUGAGGAAUAUUGGUCAAUGGACGGAAGUCUGAACCAGCCAUGCCGCGUGCAGGAAGACGGCUCUAUGAGUUGUAAACUGCUUUUGUACGAGGGUAAACGCAGAUACGUGUAUCUGCCUGAAAGUAUCGUACGAAUAAGGAUCGGCUAACUCCGUGCCAGCAGCUGCGGUAAUACGGAGGAUCCAAGCGUUAUCCGGAUUUAUUGGGUUUAAAGGGUGCGUAGGCGGUUUAGUAAGUCAGCGGUGAAAUUUUGGUGCUUAACACCAAACGUGCCGUUGAUACUGCUGGGCUAGAGAGUAGUUGCGGUAGGCGGAAUGUAUGGUGUAGCGGUGAAAUGCUUAGAGAUCAUACAGAACACCGAUUGCGAAGGCAGCUUACCAAACUAUAUCUGACGUUGAGGCACGAAAGCGUGGGGAGCAAACAGGAUUAGAUACCCUGGUAGUCCAUGCCGUAAACGAUGAUUACUAGGUGUUGGAGGAUUGACCCCUUCAGUGCCGCAGUUAACACAAUAAGUAAUCCACCUGGGGAGUACGACCGCAAGGUUGAAACUCAAAGGAAUUGACGGGAGCCCGCACAAGCAGUGGAGUAUGUGGUUUAAUUCGAAGCAACGCGAAGAACCUUACCAGGUCUUGACAUCCGAUGCAUAGCUUAGAGAUAAGUGAAGUCCUUCGGGACAUCGAGACAGGUGGUGCAUGGUUGUCGUCAGCUCGUGCCGUGAGGUGUCGGGUUAAGUCCCAUAACGAGCGCAACCCCUACUGAUAGUUGCCAUCAGAGCGUUUGAGCGAUCAAACAAGCUGGGCACUCUAUCGGGACUGCCGGUGUAAGCCGAGAGGAAGGUGGGGAUGACGUCAAAUCAGCACGGCCCUUACGUCCGGGGCGACACACGUGUUACAAUGGUAGGUACAGAGGGCAGCCACCCAGUGAUGGGGAGCGAAUCUCGAAAGCCUAUCUCAGUUCGGAUUGGAGGCUGAAACUCGCCUCCAUGAAGUUGGAUUCGCUAGUAAUCGCGCAUCAGCCAUGGCGCGGUAAUACGUUCCCGGGCCUUGUACACACCGCCCGUCAAGCCAUGGGAGUUGGGGGUGCCUGAAGUUCGUGACCGAAAGGAGCGACCUAGGGCAAAACCGAUGACUGGGGCU
rnacentral:rRNA from 1 species